UAUGUUUGGUGCAGACACUGUGGAGCAACAUCUGCAGGUCUAAGAUGUGAAUGGCAGAACAAUUACACACAGUGCGCUCCUUGUGCAAGCUUAUCUUCCUGUCCAGUCUGCUAUCGAAACUAUAGAGAAGAAGAUCUUAUUCUGCAAUGUAGACAAUGUGAUAGAUGGAUGCAUGCAGUUCAUCAGAACUUAAAUACUGAGGAAGAAGUGGAAAAUGUAGCAGACAUUGGUUUUGAUUGUAACAUGUGCAGACCCUAUAUGCCUGCGUCUAAUGUGCCUUCCUCAGACUGCUGUGGAUCUUCACUUGUAGCACAAAUUGUCACAAAAGUAAAAGAGCUAGACCCACCCAAGACUUAUACCCAGGAUGGUGUGUGUGUUUGACUGAAUCAGGGAUGACUCAGUUACAGAGCCUCACAGUUGCAGUUCCAAGAAGAAAACUGUCAAAACCAAAACUGAAAUUGAAGAUUAUAAAUCAGAAUAGCGUGGCCAUUCUUCAGACCCCUCCAGACAUCCA